GAUGAACGCUGGCGGCGUGCCUAAUACAUGCAAGUCGAGCGAACAGAUGAGGAGCUUGCUCCUCUGACGUUAGCGGCGGACGGGUGAGUAACACGUGGAUAACCUACCUAUAAGACUGGGAUAACUUCGGGAAACCGGAGCUAAUACCGGAUAAUAUAUUGAACCGCAUGGUUCAAUAGUGAAAGACGGUUUUGCUGUCACUUAUAGAUGGAUCCGCGCCGCAUUAGCUAGUUGGUAAGGUAACGGCUUACCAAGGCAACGAUGCGUAGCCGACCUGAGAGGGUGAUCGGCCACACUGGAACUGAGACACGGUCCAGACUCCUACGGGAGGCAGCAGUAGGGAAUCUUCCGCAAUGGGCGAAAGCCUGACGGAGCAACGCCGCGUGAGUGAUGAAGGUCUUCGGAUCGUAAAACUCUGUUAUUAGGGAAGAACAAAUGUGUAAGUAACGAUGCACGUCUUGACGGUACCUAACCAGAAAGCCACGGCUAACUACGU
rnacentral:rRNA from 1 species